rnacentral:misc_RNA from 1 species
AAUAUAAAAGAAAAAUUUUCAAAUUCUCUGUUUUCUACAACGGUCUAGCAAGGCUUGAUCUACAACAUCUACUUAGGAGGAACUAGCCACAUAAGAUAACAAACGAGGUGGAUCACGACCAUAGACGACCUUAAAAGGGGAAGUAUGCAAAACUGUGUGAAAAAUAUUCCGCCCACGGAAACCAUGCCAUCCAUUUACUUGGUCUAUCCCCAACAGAACAAUGCAAGUACAUCUCAAUUAUUCUGUUUACUACUUUAGUUUGGCUGUCUGUCUAUGGGUGGUAUAUGCAGAUGAAAAGGCCAACUAUGUACCACAUAAUUGAAAAAGCUCUUUCCAAAAAUUGCUUGUAAAAGCAGCAUCCCGAUCACAUACAAUGGAUUAUAGUAAUCCACGUAAGUGCACAAUGUGCUCAGAGAGUGUAGUGGCAGCACUAGUAGCCAUGUAAGGAUGAGAUAGAGAUAGAAAAUGGCCGUACUUGGAGAAGUGAUCAAUCACAACAAAUAGAAUAGAUUUUUCCUAUGAUUUUGGUAGCUCAUCGAUGAAGCCCAUAUAGAUAUCUGCCCAUAUUUGUGUAGGAAUGACCAGUGGUUGUAGUAAGCUGGUUGGCUGUAAGUGCUCGGCUUUAUUUUGCUGACAAACUGGGCAGGCCGUUACAUAUUCUUGGACUGCUUUUUUUAUGCCUUGCUUAUAAAAAUCAUUGCGCACUCGCUGCAAUGUUUU